rnacentral:rRNA from 1 species
AGACCCGAAACCCGGUGAUCUAGCCAUGGGCAGGUUGAAGGUUGGGUAACACUAACUGGAGGACCGAACCGACUAAUGUUGAAAAAUUAGCGGAUGACCUGUGGCUGGGGGUGAAAGGCCAAUCAAACCGGGAGAUAGCUGGUUCUCCCCGAAAGCUAUUUAGGUAGCGCCUCGUGAAUUCAUCUCCGGGGGUAGAGCACUGUUUCGGCUAGGGGGCCAUCCCGGCUUACCAACCCGAUGCAAACUGCGAAUACCGGAGAAUGUUAUCACGGGAGACACACGGCGGGUGCUAACGUCCGUCGUGAAGAGGGAAACAACCCAGACCGCCAGCUAAGGUCCCAAAGUCAUGGUUAAGUGGGAAACGAUGUGGGAAGGCCCAGACAGCCAGGAUGUUGGCUUAGAAGCAGCCAUCAUUUAAAGAAAGCGUAAUAGCUCACUGGUCGAGUCGGCCUGCGCGGAAGAUGUAACGGGGCUAAACCAUGCACCGAAGCUGCGGCAGCGACACUUAAGUGUUGUUGGGUAGGGGAGCGUUCUGUAAGCCUGUGAAGGUGGCCUGUGAGGGUUGCUGGAGGUAUCAGAAGUGCGAAUGCUGACAUAAGUAACGAUAAAGCGGGUGAAAAGCCCGCUCGCCGGAAGACCAAGGGUUCCUGUCCAACGUUAAUCGGGGCAGGGUGAGUCGACCCCUAAGGCGAGGCCGAAAGGCGUAGUCGAUGGGAAACGGGUUAAUAUUCCCGUACUUGGUGUUACUGCGAAG